rnacentral:rRNA from 1 species
CAUUAUUGAAUAAACCUGAUGUGGUUGUAGCUGGCCCUUUCGGGGGUAUGUGCCCACCCGUCAUCUUUAUCUUUCCACCUGUGCACCUUUUGUAGACCUGGAUAUAACACUUUCUGAGGAAACUUAGUCGGGAGAAAUGUUGCGCUUCACAGCCAGCUUUUCUUGUAUGUCCAGGCCUAUGUUUUCAUAUACCCCAAAAAUGUAACAGAAUGUAUCAUUGGGCCUUGUGCCUAUAAACUAUAUACAACUUUCAGCAACGGAUCUCUUGGCUCUCGCAUCGAUGAAGAACGCAGCGAAAUGCGAUAAGUAAUGUGAAUUGCAGAAUUCAGUGAAUCAUCGAAUCUUUGAACGCACCUUGCGCUCCUUGGUAUUCCGAGGAGCAUGCCUGUUUGAGUGUCAUUAAAUUCUCAACCUUAUCAGCUUUUGUUGAUAAUGGCUUGGAUGUGGGGGUUUUGCUGGCUUCGUCAAGAGGUCUGCUCCCCUUAAAUGCAUUAGCCGGUACCCUGCGUGGACUGUCUAUUGGUGUGAUAAUUAUCUACGCCGGGGAUGUCUGCUCUUUAUGGGUUGGACUGNUUCUAACCAUCCAUUUAGUUGGAUA